rnacentral:rRNA from 1 species
GAUGAACGCUGGCGGCGUGCCUAAUACAUGCAAGUCGAGCGAACGGACGAGAAGCUUGCUUCUCUGAUGUUAGCGGCGGACGGGUGAGUAACACGUGGAUAACCUACCUAUAAGACUGGGAUAACUUCGGGAAACCGGAGCUAAUACCGGAUAAUAUUUUGAACCGCAUGGUUCAAAAGUGAAAGACGGUCUUGCUGUCACUUAUAGAUGGAUCCGCGCUGCAUUAGCUAGUUGGUAAGGUAACGGCUUACCAAGGCAACGAUGCAUAGCCGACCUGAGAGGGGGAUCGGCCACACUGGGACUGAGACACGGUCCAGACUCCUACGGGAGGCAGCAGUAGGGAAUCUUCCGCAAUGGGCGAAAGCCUGACGGAGCAACGCCGCGUAAGUGAUGAAGGUCUUCGGAUCGUAAAACUCUGUUAUUAGGGAAGAACAUAUGUGUAAGUAACUGUGCACAUCUUGACGGUACCUAAUCAGAAAGCCACGGCUAACUACGUG